rnacentral:rRNA from 1 species
UCUUUGAUCCCCUUUCAGGACGAACGCUGGCGGCGUGCUUAACACAUGCAAGUCCUACGGGGUGUUUAUUUCGGUAAACACCAAGUGGCGAACGGGUGAGUAACGCGUAAGCAAUCUACCUUCAAGAUGGGGACAACACUUCGAAAGGGGUGCUAAUACCGAAUGAAUGUAAGAGUAUCGCAUGAGACACUUACUAAAGGAGGCCUCUGAAAAUGCUUCCGCUUGAAGAUGAGCUUGCGUCUGGUUAGCUAGUUGGUGAGGGUAAAGGCCCACCAAGGCGACGAUCAGUAGCCGGUCUGAGAGGAUGAACGGCCACAUUGGGACUGAGACACGGCCCAGACUCCUACGGGAGGCAGCAGUGGGGAAUCUUCCGCAAUGGGCGAAAGCCUGACGGAGCAACGCCGCGUGAACGAUGAAGGUCUUAGGAUCGUAAAGUUCUGUUGUUAGGGACGAAGGGUAAGGAUCAUAAUAAGGUUUUUAUUUGACGGUACCUAACGAGGAAGCCACGGCUAACUACGUGCCAGCAGCCGCGGUAAUACGUAGGCGGCAAGCGUUGUCCGGAAUUAUUGGGCGUAAAGGGAGCGCAGGCGGGAAACUAAGCGGAUCUUAAAAGUGCGGGGCUCAACCCCGUGAUGGGGUCCGAACUGGUUUUCUUGAGUGCAGGAGAGGAAAGCGGAAUUCCCAGUGUAGCGGUGAAAUGCGUAGAUAUUGGGAAGAACACCAGUGGCGAAGGCGGCUUUCUGGACUGUAACUGACGUUGAGGCUCGAAAGCUAGGGUAGCGAACGGGAUUAGAUACCCCGGUAGUCCUAGCCGUAAACGAUGGAUACUAGGUGUGGGAGGUAUCGACUCCUUCCGUGCCGGAGUUAACGCAAUAAGUAUCCCGCCUGGGGAGUACGGCCGCAAGG